rnacentral:misc_RNA from 1 species
GAUCAAGAACGCAGCGAAAUGCGAUACUUGGUGUGAAUUGCAGAAUCCCGUGAACCAUCGAGUCUUUGAACGCAAGUUGCGCCCGAAGCCAUCAGGUUGAGGGCACGUCUGCCUGGGCGUCACAUAUCGUUGCCCAAUGCCUAUUGCAGUGCAAUAGGAAUUUCUAGGGCGAAUGAUGGCUUCCCGUGAGCGUUGUUGCCUCGCGGUUGGUUGAAAAUCGAGUCCUUGGUAGGGUGUGCCAUGGUAGAUGGUGGUCGAGUUAGAACGAUACCGAUCAUGUGCAUGCUCCCCAAAAUAUGGCCUCUAUGACCCACACGCGUCUUUUGACGCUCAUGACGAGACCUCAGGUCAGGCGGGGCUACCCGCUGAAUUUAAGCAUAUCAAUAAGCGGAGGA